GACGAACGCUGGCGGCGUGCCUAACACAUGCAAGUCGAGCGAUGAAGUUUCCUUCGGGAAACGGAUUAGCGGCGGACGGGUGAGUAACACGUGGGUAACCUGCCUUGUAGAGGGGGAUAGCCUUCCGAAAGGAAGAUUAAUACCGCAUAAGAUUGUAGUUUCGCAUGAAACAGCAAUUAAAGGAGCAAUCCGCUACAAGAUGGACCCGCGGCGCAUUAGCUAGUUGGUGAGGUAACGGCUCACCAAGGCGACGAUGCGUAGCCGACCUGAGAGGGUGAUCGGCCACAUUGGGACUGAGACACGGCCCAG
rnacentral:rRNA from 1 species